UUCAUGUUAAAAACAACUACUAGAUUUUUACUUAUUUUUAAAAAUUUAGUAUUUAGCCAUAUUCAAAUCAUCCCAAACUGCUGGAUUUGAGUAAAACUAACCCAUUAAUUUGUUACAAAUCCUACAAUUCCCUAUGUCUUCUAUAUUCUGCUGUCUUUUUCAUGCUACUUUGUUUAGCACUACAGACAUUUAUAAUUUGACAUCCAUACUCUAAAGAUAAAAUGUUGCAACUACCAAAUUUCUGAAAAAAAGCAGUUGUUACUUUUUGAGACCUUGUUAUAUUAGUUUUAUAUUGCUUUUUAACUAACUACCACAAUGACAAUUUUGGACAGUAAUCCUGAAAGUAAUUGCUAUGCUCUGAAGAAGCUAUAGUGUUGAUGAAGAUGGGCAACAAAAUCAGUAUCAUUGUUUAUAUGCCCCCAAUGCAUUGGUCUUGCUGUAUAUUUUAGGAGACUGGCUUUCUAGUUGUACUGGAGAAUCUGCAUACUUCCUACUAUCUUUCAAAAUAUUUCUUUUAUGUUUUGCCUAGCCAAAGUGAAUUCUACUAUAGUCAGCUGAGAACUUUAACUAAAGAAGAGAGUUCAUUAAACAAGAUAUGUGCCUAUAAAUAUUUUUAAAAUAUAGUGGCCAGCUCUGAAUAUCACCUUGUCAAAAUUUUAAAUUGAAAUACACAUUAUUUUCUCUCUUUGUCUCUCUCUCUUGUCUAUCUAUCUAUCUAUCUAUCUAUCUAUCUAUCUAUCUAUCUAUCAUCUGUGUGUAUAUACCCAUGGAUUUCAUUUAAAAAAAUUACCAUGAACCUGGUAUUUUUAAACAACACAAAUUUAUGAUCUCACAGUUUGAAGGGUCAGAAGACCCUGCAAGGUGUGUUUUAUCUGGGUUCUCUGGUCUUCUGCCUAGAGUGUCAUAAGGGUGUAAUCAAGGUAUUGUCAGAACAUUCAUUAUUUUUAGAGGCUUUGGAGAAUAAUCUGUUUCAGCUUAUUAAGGCUGUGGCUGAAUUCAGUUCCUUCCAAAUGUAGGACCAAGGCCUCAGUUUCCCUAUCAGCUGCAAGUCUGAAGCCAGUCUUUGCUCAUCAAUACUGCCUGUGUCCUGCUUUCCAUGCAGCCCAUUUCCAAAAAAAAAAAAAGACAAUUGAGUUUCUCAAGUGCCACGUACACUUUGAGUCACUCUAAAUUCCCCUUCUGCCUCAUCUCUGUGACUUCAAUCAAAUAAAGUUCUGUUUUUAUGUCAUCAUGUGAUUGGGUUGUACCCACCUGGAUAGUCUAGAAUAAUCUCUCUAUUUUGAGGCUGGUAACUUUACAUCUUCAAAGUACCUUUAUGUUGUGUAAUAUAACAUAGUCACAGGUUCCAGUGAUUAGGGGUGUGUGUGUGUGUAUGUGUAUCUGUGUGGGGGUGUGUGUGUGUGUGCAUGUAAUAAUAGGAAAGUAGUCUCAGUGUCUGGGGUGAAGUUGUCUCCUGUGUGGGGGUGACACCAUCUUCAAUGAUGAGGUCUUGAUUUGGAACCAUAUUGUCUAGGAUGUGAGAGAAGGGUAUUAUUUUUAAAUAAAUACUCACCAGGCUCUUUCUGUGACUCUAUGGUGUUAUAAUGAGACUGAGUCAUUGUAGAAUUUUAAUCUUGGGCCUCGUAAAUUUACUUACAAAUAUCUUUUCAGUCAAGGGACUUUAUAGAGGCACAACUAGCAAAGGUGGUGUUGACACGUAUGAUGUUUCUUUUUCUUCUGCUCAGAACACCAUCCUUACCACUUCUUUGUCUGCGUCUCAACUCAUACCUCUUCCUUGUGAAGUCUUUCCUGACAACUGCUUCCUACUCAGGAUUCCCUCCAAUGCUCUCAGCAGACUUGGCUCACAUCUGCUCUGUACAAGUCAUAUUGCGAUAGUCCAUGUUUGUCUUCCCACUAGACUGCAAGUUUAUUGAGACAAAUAGCAGCAAAGUAUGCAGCAAUGAAGAGGACAGGUGAGCCACUACCUUUACCUGAGCAACAGGUGCCAUUUCUACCAUGAAGGAGCCCAACCAACAUCUUCCUCUAUAUGAGUCACCAGUAACACAUAGACAAACCAGAGUUCUGCCCCAAACAACAGUAAAGAAAUGCCAGUGUCAAAUACAUUGCACAUCCCUGGAAUAGCCCUCUGGCAGACAUGGGCAGUGACCAGAAACCCACUGGAAAGCCUGACCAGGAAGGUGUUAUUCAUAUGACCUAUCACUCUUCCUACCUCAUGGUAAGCCCCCAUCUGGGAUAGUAUACAGCUACUGGAGUUUAAUAAUUAAUGAUUGCUUUUGAAUAUUCAAAUGCUGAAGACAUUUGCGUGAGGAGAAAUGUGGUACCACCAGUAGACAAAAUGGUAAGUGACAAACAGGGAACAGGCCCAUAGACUCUGGAAGUAAUUUAGAGCCAACUGUGUGUCCAAGAUCAGUCCUGCUGAGAAGCUAAGAGUCAGUGGUCACAACACACCAAACAGCUCACAGUGCCAGGCAAUGUUGUAUUGUCUUUAAAGAGUCUUUUGGUGGCAGGACACAAUGCACUGGCACUGGGGUAGAUGAAAGGCAGAACUCUUGCUAUUUAUAGCUCCAAGUAAGAAAAGUCUUCUAGGCAGGGCUGCACAGGGUUUUGCACCUGGUGACCAGGGAAGUGGAAGUUGGAGGUUUACAGGAUAGGGCAAGCACCGUCUAUGUAUGGCAACUGGGGAAGAUUUUGCUGCAUUUCCCUGGCUCCCUGUGGAUUAGCUAAUUUGAAUAAUUGUAUACACUUCUGCGCAUACUAUUUGUCUUUGGUUGCCUAUUACCGGGCCCUGGGUUGAUUAAGGUGAGUACAUCAUGGCCUGGAGUAUGAGAGCCUAAUAAAGGAGUAGUUUAAGGUGCGGAUUUAAUGAGUUGGUCAAGGAGAACUGACAGGUGUUUUUUUUAAUUUAAUGUUUUUAGGCAGGGCCUCAAAACUGGCUCAAGAGAAUAUUUUAAAAAUUAUUUUAUUGAGGUAUGCUUAACAUAUAAAAAGCUGUAGAAAUUUAAUGGGACCCAUAUCAAUGAGUGUGGAGAUAAGUAUAUGCCUGUAAACCUAUCACUACCGUAAAGGCCAUAAGCAUAUCCAUCAUCUCCAAAAUUUCCUUCCACCCCAUUAAUAUGGCAUUAAAAUAUCUAUACUAUUUUAGAGAUUCAAACAAGACUUGGAAGGACAAGUGAAAAAGGAAUUUUAAGACCUAUUCUAAUAGGCUACAGCAUAUACACACAAAGAAUUAUGACUUCAACAAAUGUUAUUGCUCCUUUGGGGGAAGAAGAAUAUUUGGCAGAGAAUUAUAUCUAAAUAGUUCAGGUAGAAAGAAAAAUUGAUUGGUAAAAAUUAGUAGAUAGGAUUGACACUUGGAAUUCAUGGUUUAAUGAAUGACUCAAGUACCUGAAACCCACUUUAAGAAUCUGCUAAAUUGGCUAAGUAAAUCUUGGUUUCAGGGGUGGCCUCUGGUUAAUGAGAUUGAGGUUCCAACAUCUCCCUCUAUAAUGUAAUGUAAUUGAUCCAAAGUCUCAGGGAGAUAGGAACGUUGGAAUUAAUCUGUUAUGCACAACCGGCCCAUUCAUUCUUUAUUCACAUGCCCUGAGAGAGGGAGCCUGAAAAAAAUCCACCCUUUACCAAGGCAUUGAAGAAAUUCUUUGAUGACAGGGCCAUCGGUAUUCUGGAAAAGUGCUGUAGUUUCUGACCUCUGUAAAAUGGAGAUGAUGUGGGAAAUGGGAGAUACCACAUUGGAACUGAGUUUUUGAUCUCACUGGUAACAAUGAGAAUGUUUAUAGGUAGAGGUCAGGUGGUAGCUUUUAACACUCAGACACAUGAGGAAAAUAAUUAGAGUCACAAACCAUACAAAGAAGGUGGUUUUGUAUCCUCAGUGAUAAACAUGCAAAGUAAUUUGUUUGCUCGGGUUUUAGAAAUAAAUGAGGUUACAAAACAAAUAUGUUGCCUAUUGACAUUUAUAAGAAGAAAAAAUUUAGAUCCAGAAGGCAGAAACCUUACUUGAGUCAUCAUUGUGGAGAUUCUUGACCUUUUUUUUUUUUUUUUAUGAGUGUGGGUAAAUUUGUAUUAUACAUUUCCAGAAGUAGCAUGACUGGUUUAAAGUAUGUAAUUUUGAUAAAUUCUGAUAAAUGCUCUCCAUAGAAGGAGCAACAUUUUAUGCUCUCACCAGCAAUUUAAGAGUGUGUUUGUUUUCCAAUAGCAUCAUCAAAAGAGAUUGUUAACAAACUGUCCAGUUUGGGCCAAUCAGGAAAUAGGAACACUUUUACACUGUUGGUGGGACUGUAAACUAGUUCAACCAUUGUGGAAGUCAGUGUGGUGAUUCCUUAGGGAUCUAGAACUAGAAAUACCAUUUGACCCAGCCAUCCCAUUACUGGGUAUAUAGCCAAAGGAUUAUAAAUCAUGCUGCUAUAAAGACACAUGCACACGUAUGUUUAUUGUGGCACUAUUCACAAUAGCAAAGACUUGCAACCAACCCAAAUGUCCAACAAUGAUAGACCAGAUUAAGAAAAUGUGGCACAUAUAUACCAUGGAAUACUAUGCAGCCAUAAAAAAGAUGAGUUCAUGUCCUUUGUAGGGACAUGGAUGAAGCUGGAAGCCAUCAUUCUCAGCAAACAAUCGCAAGGACAAAAAAACCAAACACUGCAUGUUCUCACUCAUAGGUGGGAAUUUAACAAUGAGAACACUUGGCCACAGGAAGGAGAACAUCACACACUGAGGCCUGUUGUGUGGUGGGGGUAGUGGGGAGGGAUAGCAUUAGGAGAUAUACCUAAUGUAAAUGACGAGUUACUGGGUGCAGCACACCAACAUGGCCCAUGUAUACAUAUGUAACAAAC
rnacentral:lncRNA from 1 species